rnacentral:sRNA from 1 species
GCUGGGUGCCGGGGUGCAUGUCUGUCAUCCCAGCAGCUCUGGAGGCUGAGGCAGGAGGAUUACGAGUUCAAAGCCAGCCUCAGCCACUUAGUGAGGCCCUGAGCAACUCAGUGAGACCCUGUCUCUA